UGUGCAUUUCUGAUCAGAUCUCAGAAAAUGUUCUGCUUCACUUAACAGGGGCCUCAUUUCAAAAAUCAUCAAUUGUGAAAUUCUGCAUAUAGUUCUUCCUGAUCACAUUUUGGGCGUCUUGCAUAAGAUCCCCACUGAGAUGCACGUUCAUUUAGCCUGCUAGUAAAGGGUGAUUACAAAAUCGAACCAACCUUUGAAGCAGCACAACAUUUCCAUAAAAGUGAUAAUCGCUACUCAAAACCCAGGAGCAAACCGUGGGGGAGAAGCAAGCUGACGGUGAGGCGGCGAUUACAGAGUAAAAUAAAGCCAGACAAUCUUACCUUUAACGUUGAUGUCUGUGCCAGGAAGCGCCAGGAUCUGAAGCACGGUUUCCACUUGGUUCUUCUUGCAAGCUCUGUGGAGGAGGGUCUCUCCUUUGACCAGGACACACACACAAUGGACAAACACACCCAAAAGAAAGAAGA